rnacentral:misc_RNA from 1 species
GAAAAUCUCCUUGUUGCUGUAGAAGGUAUUGAUGAUCAAGCUCAGAAGCUGGUUGAUCUCAGCCUGGAAGGCAAAGGUCUCUGCAUCAGCCAUCUUCACAUCCGCCAUUCCUCCACACUACUUCACACACACCACACAAGCCUCGAAGCAAAGAGCGCGCGAAUGCGAGAACGAAAGAGAAAGAGCACAGGUAGAAAGAGCUAAUACGGACUUUGGUUAGAUGAUCACUAAAAACUUCUGGCU